CUUCUCCUCCUCCACAGAGACACAGACCUCCUCUCGAGAGUGUCAAUGGCGAAGAACGACGCGUCCUUGGGAUCAGUGGGUGAGUUCUUGAAGCGUUGCCAACAAUCCGGCGAGUCUUCGACGAUCAAUGUCUCCAGAGAUCGGUGCCAAACGCGCACAUGAGGCUCUACGAUGAUCUCAUUACCAACGGGCAAUGUAUAUCAUUCACUUCCGAUGCGGUAUAAGAGAGUUGUGGAUCUUCAUAACAUGCUUGGAGGAGAGAAUCAUCAUCAUCUCCGUCAGCAUCACCUUCGUUCUUCAAUUUUUGAAGAAAUGGAGCUGAAACCAGGUCUCUCAGCUCUCGUCACCGACGGAGCUUCUGGAAUUGGUAGCCGCAGUCGAUGAGGUGGUGGUGACGACGAGGACGACAACUGGUAUGGUCUUGAUGAUGAGCUGGUGCCGUGGUUUUUGAGCAAAGACACUGACCUUUGCCGCGGCGCGUUUGGCGAUCCAAUUCCUUGGCUCAUCGCCCCAGUCUUCUUCUUCUCCAACAAGCUGCUAAUGCUAGAAAAAUUCUGAAAAGAGAGAGGUUUAAGAUGACAAUAUACAAACCGGAGAGUGGGAAUGUAAACAUCUGCAAACAGUUCAAGUUAUACCAUUCAGGUCUGGCUUUCAGCCAGAAAUUGUGACCUUAAGGGAUGAAUCUAAUGGAGUAAGAAGCUCAUGAGGGGAUCUUGCAAUUUGCAAAUGCUACUGAUUUUCUUUUGGCAUCUUCUUGGAAUUAGUUAUAUAUUUAAAAAGUUCAACCAAGGUUCUUAUCAAUAAAUAUGCAUCAUCUAUUUGAAUUACAAUGCAUUAGUUUUCAUAACUCCGUCAUUGAUUUAGGGAAAGUAAAACUAUUUAAUUCUUCUACCACUUUAGCUGUAUAUGUUAGGAGUUGCUUCCAGUUUUCUGGUAUGGCAAACCCCUGUCUUUUCUUUUGGGUGCUACUUAAGGAGUUAGGUGCUUAAGAAGUUGGGUGCUAUUGUGGUAUUGGAAUGAAAUCAAUUGUCUUUUCUUUUAUACUUUUUUUUUGUUAAUGUAGAAUAGUGAUCGAUAAGUCUAAUGAUAAAUGGUGAU